rnacentral:lncRNA from 12 species
UGAGGCAAAAUGACAAAAAUGCAAAUAAUGUAGUGAAUUUUGCAAUAAUGAUCAUAAUUAUCAUUAUUUCAAUUCUUAAUUAUGGCUGCAUGUAUUUAACUUUAAUAAUGGUACUUUACCCUUAAGUUAUAUUGUUCCUUCAUUUUUUGGGGGUUGUUAAAAUUGGUUCUUAUAUGAAACAAUGGUAAUAAUAAAUGACAAUUUAUCUUAAUGAUCUUUUCUGGUAAGAUAAAAUAGUGACAACCUAUUGAUUUUACUUGUCUUUGAAAACUCCACAUCUGGAAACUGCUCAUUGGUUUCCACACCUGUGAAUAUUUUUUUUCAGUGUGAUAUAAUUUGUUCAUACCAAUUAGGAAUUAGGAGAAAAGGACUUAAAUGUAACUUGAUGUAAUAGUCUUUUUGUCAGUUGCCAAGUGGAACUGGAACACAGUUUGGGGAUGCUUAGUAGAUGGAAGAGAACUCUAAGAACAGAGGAUUCUGCAUUCAAUUACACUUGCCCUGCCAGCUAUUUGGCAUAUGAAGGUCCUGACCUGGGAAAACCAUCUCGGAUAACCACGCAAGGAGAGGGAAAAAUGCAACACCUAGGAGAUUUCAGUAAACAGUAGAAUCAUGCCAACCUAAUCUGUGUUAAAAUGCUUGGAAUGUGGGAGCCGCCGAUGAUGCCUGUUGUCUGUGUGUCUGACUGAAUCCUUUCUUUUCUCAGAGCAGCAAAGCCAAGCCUGGGAACCUGGCAAAAUGACGGCCACUUACCUUCAAUUGAUAAGCCACUUUGAGAUUAGAACCCCUGAAAGCUGCCCCCCCGUGAAAACAAGGCCUCCUUCACAUUAAAGGCAAAUUGCGAUUUUGGGUUUGCUGUGAUCUUUUUUCCAUUUUAUCCAGUUUUUCACUGUGCACACUUUUUUUUUUUUUUCCUUUCCAUUUAUGCUCCAACGUAGAAGCCAAUAGUUACAGCAUCUUGGCCAGGCAUUCAUUAAGGUUUAUAAGAACAAAAUUUAUGGUUAUUUAGAGCUGGCACAGAGACAGACUGUUGUUGGAAAAAGAAAAAGCAAUACAGGUGGGAAAUAGAAGUCUUAACAAAGGCCCAUACUGUAACGUGGUGCAUGGGGCUCUUCUUGGCUGUGGUCUGGGGCAAAAAGCAUAUUGUAUUUAAAACCAUUUACUCCUCUAUUUUGAGUCCUCCCCAUUCUAUGGUUCUGUAGAUGAUGAAAACAAGUAGACCAGUCACUCCAAGUGGUUUUCCUGUCUUGUGUAAGAGCUAGCAUUUACAGGAGUGG